UUUAACGUUGUCCUAAUGGGCGUUUUUCUUCAAUAACAUUACAACUUUAUUCAGGAUGUGGACGGUCCAAGAGAAUUUUACAUGCUCUUGUCUUAGUUCUGGCAGCGUGCAAGUCCUCGAGGGUAGGUAGGUGGUGUACCGACAACCUAUUCAGCAGUUUUGAUUGUCCGUUGCAGUCAGAGUCUGUCCUUUUCAGUCGCAGCACCAAACCAGACUGUGAUGGAAGAACACAGGACUGAUUCAAUGACCGCUGUAUAAGAACUGCCUCAACAGCUCCUGUGGCAGGUCGUGCUUCCUCGGAAGCCGCAGGAACUACAUCCUCUGCUGGGCCUUUUUGAGGAUGGAGUUGGUCUUCAGGUCCUGAGAGACUGUAAUUCCCAGGAACUUGAAGGUCUCGACGGUUGACACAGGGCAUGCCUCCUGAAGUCCACGAUCAUCUCUACAGUCUUGAGCGUGUUCAGGUCCAGGUUGUGUCGGUCGCAACACAGCUCCAGACGCUCCACUUCCUGUCAAUAGGCAGACUCGUCACAGUCUUUGAUGAGGCCGAUGACUGUGGUGUCGUCUGCAAACUUCAGGAGUUUGACAGCCGGUGCGUUGAGAUGCAGUCGUUUGUGUAGAGAGAGAAGAGCAUCGGAGAGAGGACACAUCCUUGGGGCGCCCCGGUGCUGAUGGUGCAUGUGGAUGGCAGGAGAGACGCUGAGCUGGAGAAGCUUGGAGGAGAGGAGUUCGGGGAUGAUGGUGUGAACAUUUCGUUCACAAGAACGAAUCUCUUUAGUGAAUCAACUGAACCGAAUCAGUUUCUGAAAUGAUUUGUUCUUUUAACUUGAGCGUCAGCCGCCGCCAGGCAAGCGAGUCGGCUGGGAGCCGAAACGGAACUGCUGAAGCGUUCUGUCACUCACUUCGGAAUCUUCGGCGAAUGACCAAUGAGCAGCCAGCGUCAGGCAGCACCGUGCAGGCGGGGGAGGGACUUAAGUCAACUGAGUGAUUCGUUCAGUGAACUGGGGUACUGAGGAACUGAAGAAGUGAAGAGUGAUUCGUUUGUGGAACUUCUUCGUUGGUGAUCCGCUAAGGAGCGAUGAGUGAUUCGUUUGCGCAAAGAACGACGUUCUACGCAAUGAACGUACUCAGGAGGGAUUUUAACCGCAAGUCCUGACGUCCUCGCGGGGAUAGCUUUCACUCGUAGCCGUUCCUUCAAGCUAACCGCUAAUGUUGAGUCAGUCAAGCACAUGAAAACAAGCACACAUAUUUUAAAUAAAUGUCAAUUAAUAAUAGAUGUUUUUAAGUAGACAUACAUAUCACUCCCUCCGUGUCGCUAAUGCGAUUAUUAAAGCUUUUUAUUUCAUUAUAUUAAUAAUAACGUUAAACUUCUAUAGCGCUUCUCAAGACACUCAAAGACGCUUUCCACUAAUCAGAUGACAAAUAACAGUAAGGUGAGUGAGCAGAAAGCCCGGCUGGCGGAGGCUGGCGUCAGCGACGCUGUCCACCGCGGUGGAGUGCAGAAAUGUCACGCCGGCUGGCGAGAGCCUAGCUGGACGUCAGGGGACGCGGAAGGAUGGUCGGUAGCUGAGCUCGCUGCACGCAUGUUCACGCCUCACAACCGAAGCCGGGUGUUCGAGAGCUCGCUGGGAGAGAGCGAGAUCUCUAAAAGUGAGCGAAGUUAGCCUGGCGACUGCUGACCUCGAGCCGGAAGGAAGGACGGACAGAGCGACGCACGACCAGUGUGCCCAUAUAAAGACUUCCUAAUAACCUGCAUCUCAUUUUCAUGACCUCCUGCUACUGUCCCUCCACUGAGUGGCGUUGCCCACGCAGGGGGCGCCCCCGGCACUACCGCACGUCCGGGUCCUCAUCUGCACCCCGGAGUCGUCGCAGGCCGACCACAGCGACCAGGCCAUCCAGCCUCCUGGACACAAACAACA